rnacentral:rRNA from 1 species
UUGAUAGUACCUUACUACAUGGAUAACCGUGGUAAUUCUAGAGCUAAUACAUGCUGGAAACCCCAACUUCGGGAGGGGUGUAUUUAUUAGAUAAAAAACCAACGCCCUUCGGGGCUUCUUGGUGAUUCAUAAUAACUUUACGGAUCGCAUGGCCUUGCGCCGGCGACGGUUCAUUCAAAUUUCUGCCCUAUCAACUUUCGAUGGUAAGGUAUUGGCUUACCAUGGUUUCAACGGGUAACGGGGAAUUAGGGUUCGAUUCCGGAGAGGGAGCCUGAGAAACGGCUACCACAUCCAAGGAAGGCAGCAGGCGCGCAAAUUACCCAAUCCCGACACGGGGAGGUAGUGACAAUAAAUACUGAUACAGGGCUCUUUUGGGUCUUGUAAUUGGAAUGAGUACAAUUUAAACCUCUUAACGAGGAACAAUUGGAGGGCAAGUCUGGUGCCAGCAGCCGCGGUAAUUCCAGCUCCAAUAGCGUAUAUUAAAGUUGUUGCAGUUAAAAAGCUCGUAGUUGAAACUUGGGUCUGGCUGGCAGGUCCGCCUCACCGCGUGUACUUGUCCGGCCGGGCCUUCCUUCUGGAGAACCUCAUGCCCUUCACUGGGCGUGUUGGGGACCAGGACUUUUACUUUGAAAAAAUUAGAGUGUUCAAAGCAGGCCUUUGCUCGAAUACGUUAGCAUGGAAUAAUAGAAUAGGACGUGCGGUCCUAUUUUGUUGGUUUCUAGGACCGCCGUAAUGAUUAAUAGGGACAGUCGGGGGCAUCAGUAUUCAAUUGUCAGAGGUGAAAUUCUUGGAUUUAUUGAAGACUAACUACUGCGAAAGCAUUUGCCAAGGAUGUUUUCAUUAAUCAGUGAACGAAAGUUAGGGGAUCGAAGACGAUCAGAUACCGUCGUAGUCUUAACCGUAAACUAUGCCGACUAGGGAUCGGGCGAUGUUCUUUUUCUGACUCGCUCGGCACCUUACGAGAAAUC